rnacentral:lncRNA from 1 species
CCAUUUAUAAAUAUUUUACGAGUAGAAAUUGAUCACUAGGGAUCGACUUCCAAGGAAUCCUCCAAGUGCACUAGGGAUCGACUUUUUCUCUCUCAAGGAUAAAAGUCGAUCCCUCAAGGACCUUAAUCCCAAGAAGUGGGAUAGACUUUUAAAAAAAUCCCAAGGAUUGGGAUAGACUUUUUAAAAAAGUCCCAAGAAGUGGGAUAGAGUUUUAAAAAAAUCCCAAGGAUAGGGAUAGACUUUUUUUUAAAAAAAAAUCCCAAGAAGUGGGAUAGACUUUUUAAAAAAUCCCAAAGAUUGGGAUAGACUUUUUAAAAAAAUCCCAAGGAUUGGGAUAGACUUUAUUCCCAACAUCGGGAUACACUUUUUAAAAAUCCCAAGGAUUGGGAUAGACUUUUUAAAAAAUCCCAAGGAUUGGGAUAGACUUUUUAAAAAAUCCCAAGGAUGGGGAUAGACUUUUAAAAAAAAAUCCCAAGAAGUGGGAUAGACUUUUUAAAAAAUCCCAAGGAUUGGGAUAGACUUUAUUCCCAACAUCGGGAUAGACUUUUUAAAAAA